UUCCCAAAAAAAUUCCCCCAAAAUUUCCACCGAAUUCCCAAGUUUUCCUGCUCAACGUGAGCAGCAUUCUCAAAUUCCAGGGAAUUCCCAAAGGAAUUCUUCAAAUCCCGCCAAAAAAUCCCAAAAUCCCCCCAAAAAAUCCCAGCAAAAUUCCAGAGAAAUUCCCAAAAAAAUGCCCCAAAAAAAUUCCCAAAAAUCCUCACGGAAUUCCCAAAGAAUUCCCAAAUCCCUGGAAAAUCCCAGCAAAAUUUCUCUGAAAAAAAUUCCCACAGAAUUCCCAAAAAUUCCCACAAAAUCCCUGCAGAAUUCCCUAAAAAUUCCUGCAGAACCCCUGAAUUCCUUAAAAAUCCCCACAGAAUUCCCAAAUUCCCCCAAAAUUCCUGCAGGAUUCCCAAAUUCCCGAAUAAUUCCUGCAGAAUUCCCAAAAAAAUCCCCACAGAAUCCCUGAAUUCCCGCAGAAUUCCCAAACAAUUCCCACAAACUCCCCAAAUCCCCCCAAAAAAUCCCAAAUUCCCACCAAAUACCCACGGAAUUCUUGGGAAAUCUGUCCUUUUCCCGGGAAUUCUGGGUUUUUCCCACCUCCCAUUCCCAUUUUUCCCGGGAAUUCCAGUUUUUUCCCAGGAAUUCCAGUUUUUCCUGGGUCCCAUUCCCAUUUUUCCCAGGAAUUCCCAUUUUCCAGGGAAUUCCGGGUUUUUCCCAGCUCCCAUUCCCAUUUUUCCCUGGAAUUCUGGGUUUUCCCGGGAAUUCUGGCUUUUUCCCGGCUCCCAUUCCCAUUUUUCCCGGGAAUUCUGGGUUUUUCCCGCCUCCCAUUCCCAUUUUUCCCGGGAAUUCCGGCUUUUUCCCGUCUCCCAUUCCCAUUUUUCCCGGGAAUUCCGGGUUUUUCCCGCCUCCCAUUCCCGUUUUUCCCGCAGCUCUUCAGCCCUUCCGUGGCGGUUCCGGACGUGACCCUGCCGGACCUGGACAGCAGCUUGGCCAGCGUGAGCUCGGAAUUCCGGGAAUUCUGUGGGAAUUCUGGCGAAAAAUUCCAGGAAUUCCAGGAAAAAAAAUUCCGGGAAUUCCGGGAAAAAAAUCCCCGCCCCCACGGAGGAAAAAUCCCGGAUUUUCCCUGGAAAAU
rnacentral:lncRNA from 1 species